rnacentral:sRNA from 1 species
GCAUCUGAUAAAUCGGAUGUCGGGAUUGACCUCCUGCCUUAACUAAACAGGCGCAUAGCACGCCGUAAGCGUGUUUUUU